UUAGAGUGACCGCAUUCUAUAUGACGUAUGUGUUCGCAAACGAACGUAAACCGCUAGGCUUUAACCAAUAGUCGGCAAUUUCGAGAAUAUUCUAUGCCAUAGAAUGCGACAAAAACAGCGUAAAAAAGUUUCGAGGUUUUACAUGGGUUAAGGGGUCUUAACAAAGCUGACUAAUCAGAAAAUCUGAAUUAUAACCAAGGGCGAUUCUCGAAUCAAAGGUUUAGGGGUGCUGAGCUCCAUGGUCGCCGGCGCCCAGGAGCCCAUCCCAGCUACCAUCGGGCAGGAGGCGGGGUACACCCUGAACUGGUUGCCAGCCAAUCGCAGGGCACAUAUAAACAAACAACUAUUCACACUCACAUUCACACCUACAGUUGUCAAUUAACUUACCAUGCAUGUUUUUGUGAUGUGGCAGGAAACCAGAGUGCCCGGAGAAAACCCACGCAGGCACGGGGAGAACAUGCAAACUCCACACAGGCGGGGCCGGCGAUUGAACCCCACUCCUCAGAACUGCAAUUACCAGGCAAGAGCAACUCAACAUCAAAGGAACUCAACAUAAUCUCAACGCUGCAAUAAUGGUUGGGAGACAACCCUUAAAAGGUUGUAGGUCAGUUUCUGUUGAGUGUCGGGUAUCGGUUGUAAUUACAAUUUUGUAGAAGUCGGGAUAAUACACGCACCUGCCAAGUUUGGUUGCCGUAGGUGUGGCGUACCACGAAUAGCUCUUUGAUGAACUACAUCUGCAACCUUUUGUGUGUGAAUAUCUUGAAAACUGCGUUACGUUUGUCUAAAAAAAUAAAUGCACUUGUCCGCUGAUCCACAAACGCGCCUUCAACAAUUCACAAGCCAAAUUGAAUAUUUACAAAUGAUAAGUCAUGAUAAAUGCACACACAACAUUAAAAAACAUGUGUAAAUCACAGGUAUGUAGUGGAUCUGAAAAACACGUAAAUCGCUGAUAUAUUUGUCAAUAAAUUUAAUUUAGGACAAAUCUCAGUAAGUGCGGGUGUAGUUGCGUGACACCACCUUUUACAUUAAUGUAAGAUGCAUUUUCCGUGAAGGGAGCUGUAUCAUGUUAUUAUCCUUAAACAGUGGUGGGUAGAGUAGCCAAACACAGUACUCAAGUAAGAGUAGUUACUUUAGAAUAAUAUGACUCAAGUAAAAGUAAAAAGUAGUCCAAAAAAUCAAAAUAAAUCAGCAUCAACGUGAAAUAAAAUAAAAUAAAACAAUAGUAUAUGAGAGUCCACACACACCUGCCACCAUUUAAAGUUUUAACUGCCCAAAAACCAACAAUACCUGACAGAAUCUGAAUCAGAAUCAUCUUUAUUUGCCAAGUAUGUCAAAAACACACAAGGAAUUUGUCUCCAGUAGUUGGAGCUGCUCUAGACAGACAACAGACAGACAAUUGACAGAGAAUACAUUUGAGACAUAAAAACAGUCACUGAGCAAUCAAAGGUUACCAGUAAUGUGGUAAUGCCGGUACAAUUUUAUUAUUUUUUAAUUUUUUUUUUAGAAUUACACAAAAUGAUGCUGAGUACUCUAGCAAUUAGAGCAGUUUGAAAUGACUAAUAGAACAAUAGUCUGGUGCAAUGACCAUUGUGCAAAUGGCGCAGAGACUUGACUGCAGUUUAAAGUGACUAGUAGUGCGAUAAUCUGGAACAAUGUGUCAUGUACUGCCCUGCAGUACCUUUUUUGGAGCCUGGAUGGCGCUUUGCGCCCUCUCGUCCCCUCUCACUCCCCUCCCCUUUCUUUCAGCACCUUCCUCUAGCCGCGCACCUGUCAACAAUCAGCCCUCAUCACCACCUCUUUCUUUCAGCACCUUCCUCUAGCCGCGCACCUGUCAACAAUCAGCCCUCAUCACCACCUACAUAUAAGCCUGCCUGUUCCCGGAAAUCCAUGCCCAAGUAUUGCAGCUUGUUCCAGCGUAUUCCCGAUCCACGUCAUUCCUGCCGCCAAGCCAGCCGCCUGUCCACACCACUGCCUUCCAACGCACCCAGGACCACCUCUAUUACCUUCCUAAAUAAAAUGUUCAUCACAAUC